UAUCUUUGCCUUCGUAAAGGUGGCCGGACCCCGAUUGGGGGGCGAGGCUGAAAAGGGAAUCCGGUUUAAUGCCGGAGCUGUCCCCGCAACUGUACGCUUCAUGAGUCGGCGCGUCAUCACCGGCCACUGUUUCAACUAGCUGUUCUUCUUUUGAAGAUGAGCGGCCGAAAUGGGAAGGCGACGCGCCCGGAGCAAGCCAGGAGACCUGCCUUUGCGUUUCCCCAUGU
rnacentral:ncRNA from 2 species